UACGUAGGGUGCGAGCGUUAAUCGGAAUUACUGGGCGUAAAGCGUGCGCAGGCGGUUUUGUAAGGCAGAUGUGAAAUCCCCGGGCUCAACCUGGGAACGGCAUUUGGGACUGCAAGGCUUGAGUUUGGCAGAGGAGACUGGAAUUCCUGGUGUAGCAGUGAAAUGCGUAGAUAUCAGGAGGAAUACCGAUGGCGAAGGCAGGUCUCUGGGCUAUAACUGACGCUCAUGCACGAAAGCGUGGGGAGCAAACAGG
rnacentral:rRNA from 1 species